UAAUACUAAUCAUUAUUAAUAUGAUUAAUAUGAUAAUGAACAUAAUUAACAUCCUUUUAAUUAUUAUAGAUGAAUGAUACAUUAGAUCCCAUUAAUCCAUCUUAUGAUCUAAAUCUACAAGAUGAAGUAUCACAUUUAUUUGGAAGAGAUGUAUCUGGGCAUAUGGACGUAAACCAUAUACUUCAGAAGACAAAAAAGAAUUUGAUGUCUUUUUAGUUCAGGGAAAUCAUUUACUUUAUAGGGGAGUAUUAUGUCUCCUGGUAUCAUACUGAGGUGCUUAGAAUUGAUUUUCUCAAAUAUUACUUCAAAAUCGUCUCCCUCUUACAAAUCAGUUAAUCACUGUAAUGUUGUUAAUUUGGGUUCUCUCAAACAUGCUCAAGUUGCUUGAAACGUUGCUUCGUUGGAUAAACAUCACUAUAUCAAUGCUUACACGGAAAUGCAAAAGCAAUUGCAAAUGGAGUCACCAAUUAGACCGAGUCAAUGCAUUGACGUGCAUUACUCAGUUUGAGUGUCUCUUUUGCAGAGUAAUAUAACCUCAUUUUCAUCGAAAAUUCUGGGUUUUUACAAAAGCUCGUUUUUAUUCGAAAACUGAGAGAGAUUUUCUGAUUUUUAAUCAAGAAUUUCAUAGUGACUAUAGAAAAUCAGAAAUCGUUUCCGACAGUGCUAUGGGUAGCUAAAAAUACUAUUUUUUAAUUAUUUUUAGUGAAAAUUUCAUUUCAAUAUCUCUAAUGGCUCAAAACUUAUAACAAUUUGUCAAUACAUUUUUCAAAUCGUCGCAGAGGUGCGAGAUAUUCGAGGCACGGGCCACGAAAUUUGCAAUAACGUUCUGCGCAGGAUGGGGGUGGUGUUGGGAUUUCGCGUGGGCGUGAAAGUCUAGCGCGAAGUGCGAACCCCAGAACGGAGGGGCGUAAAAGCCGAUGUUACGUCUUUUCCGUGCAAACCACCGGAUAAUGAACAUCUCAGACAGUUUAAGAAAAUUACAAAGCAACGAUGUUUGACAGAAAAAAAACCCAACGGUUUUGAACAUGGAGCAGCAGGUUCUCCGAAAGUUGGAAUGCGGCAUAAACGUGGAAGCGCUUGCUAAUACGUACGGGAUCGCUAAAAGUACGGCGAACCGAAUAAGGCGCAUUGGCAUGAAUAGCUUGGACACCUGUGUAGACGUGCAUAAAAACAAAUAAUAUAUUGUGAAUAAUGGUGUAAAUAACAAAAUUUAUGAUUGGUUUUUGCAGACGAGACUUUUAGGAGUUCCCAUUUCUGACAAAAUCCUGUAGGAGCAGGCCAAAAAGAUAGGGACCAGAUCAGGCGUACCGUUUCACACAAGUCGCGGAUGGUUGUGGAGGUUUAAGCUGCGUUAUAACAUCCGCGCAGUGACGGCGUGGGGAAAAGGUUGGUUUUCAAGAGACCCUCGGGUCAAGGAGACCCGAAGAGAGACCCGAAUACCUGAUAAAAGAAAAUCCAAUAAAAAUACAGGACGCAUUAAGCCUCCUAGAAUUUUUCCUCUAACUUUCUUCAGGACUCAUCACCAUCUCUACUGAUAGCAAUGGUUGAACUAUUUAUUUUAACAAUAAUUAAUCGUAUUUUACUCUUACAUACAUACGUAAGGAGAAAAUAAUUAGGCCUGGUCUGUAUCUGUGUCAUAACAAAGCGACAUGGCAAGUGACCGCUUUACAGAUGUAACCACUCCAUUGGUACUGCAGAUCUCUCAUACUGCUAUUGUUUUUACGAGGGGAUCUUUACACUCAUUACUAAUGGAAACCAAGAAUGGAAAUAGUAAAUAAUAUAUUAAGAAAUUGCCAUCGAAUAAAUAUCUUUUGUAUGUUACAGAUACCAGCAUGGGUUUCAAAAGUCCUUCCUCUCAAAACUGCACUUUCCAGAGUAUACUUUAAGCAUCGGUGAAACUCGGACAACGCCUUCUUCUAAAUAAGAAGGCGGUAAACGAGGUUCUGACAUAAUGAUAACGGCUCUUUUCAGGGUCUCAAAUUCAUGCAAGCAGAUCAGUUCGUCCUUAUUAAUUCCAGAAGUGAGAAUGUCGAUGCAAUAACAAAAUAUCAUUCUUUUUGUUACACAGACCAGCAAACAUUUUAUUGUAUUUCUAGUUUCGUUCAAAGUUUCGAUAAUUGCGAAAUUAUCUGUU